AUGAGCAGUCUUCAUUAUGCACGUAGUCGGAGGAAUAGACUUGGAGAGGGGAAGAGAUUUACCUCUUCGUGUCAAGAAAGGGUAAUUUUCUCCUUAUUGAAGACAACACUUUUCAAAUUGAGUAAUUUACUAAUUAACGCAAUUAUCAAAUAUCAAAAUAUUUUACAUCUGAUAAAAACGGCCAGUCCAGUAUAUAGUAUACGAAGCUCCUGCUAUGCUCGGAGUCCAGUAUACGAAGCUCCUGCUAUGCUCGGAUACAGGGAAGAAGUUUACCUCUUCGUGUCCAGAAAGGGUAACUUUCUCCUUGUUGAAUACAGAAGUUUCAAAAUCGAGAGAGAUUGGUGCUUUGACAGCAGUAGGAGUAGCUACCAUACGAGCACUGAAUGCUCCACCGGAGCUAGUUCCGCCAGAGAUUUAGCUCUGAGAGGCUUAAGUGAAUGGGAUGACAAAGAAAGGAAGCCUAAGUAGCCGGAAAGAGAAGGCUUUAGGGAUUUGGAUGAAGCGGAGAAAGAAGUAGCCGCCGCCAUUGUUGGUUUGUUGAGCUGCCGGUGAGGAGUGUGAAAAGUGUAGAGAGAGCGGGGGAAAUUAGGGCGUCAAAGGCACGUAUUAAGCUGUAUGUUGGGAUUGUGGUGUAGUACAUUGUGAGAGGAGGGAGAGAUUUGUUCAAAUUGUUGCCGGAUGCAUUUAAGGGAAUCAAGCAGAUUGGAGUCAUUGGCUGGGGUUCUCAGGGACCAGCUCAAGCCCAAAACAUGAGGGAUUCUCUUACAGAAGCAAAAUCUAAUAUAGUUGUUAAGGUAAUACUUCAUUUACUUUCAUUACUUCAUUACUUUCUAUUUUAGAAGUUGAAGCUGGAGUUCAUCUGGUUUGCAACAAGAUGAAAAUCUUAUUGUCUUGCAACUUUAUGAGGCAUGAAUACUGGUUUUGUUGGUUUAAAACCGUUAAGGGGAAAUAACGCAGGAAUUCAAUUUAAAGCUGGCCGCAAAAACCAGAGAUGGAGUUUGAAGAAGAGAAUAUGCAGAGAGUGAUUAUUUUCUUGUUGAAAGACCAUGCCAAAUUUAUCAUCAACUUAGCAACUUAAAUAGUUGCUAUUACAAGUAAAAAUAGGACAAAGAAACAACCUAUUUCUACCAAAAUUAAAAUAACUAAUUAGUUUCCUACCAAAGAUAGGACUCCUAAUUUAACUAGGAUUGUAUGUAAAAAAAACUAGAGAGAAAGAAAACAAAGAAACACGUUGCAUUCCUAAAGCAACUCUCAAUACUCCUCUUUGCUUUAUGAAAUGCAAACUCCAAUUUUCUGUCUAAGAAGCUUGAAUUUGCUAACUGGAAAAGGCGUAGUGAAUAUAUCAGCGCACGUUCUUCCAUCUUUCAGUAGACAAGAAUCACAUCUCCAUCUUUUUGAACUUCUCUCAGGAAGAAAAACUUGAUAUUGAAGUGCUUAGAUUUUCCAUGAAACAGAGGAUUGUGAGAAAUAGCUAUUGCUGCUUGGUUGUCCACGAAUACUUCAAUGCUUCCUUUUGGUUCCAUAUGCAGAUCAAUCAGCAUUUUCUUCAGCCACAAUGCUUGAUUUACUGCUGCUGUAGCUGCCACAAACUCAGCUUCGGCAGUAGAUUGAGCCACAAUGUCCCGUUACAACUCCAUGAAAAAAUCCCAGAACCAAGACUAAAAUAGUGUCCUGAAGUACUCUUCGAGUCAUCUUUGGAACCUCCCCAAUCACUAUUAGAGUACCCAAAAAGCUUCACAGGUUGAGUCCUUCGAAACAUGACUCCAUAGGUGAUAGUUCCUUCGAUGUAUCGCACAAUUCUUUUUGCUGCCUUCAGAUGUACUUCACUCGGACAAUGCAUGAACCUUGAUAGAAUACUUACAGCAUACAAUAUAUCGGGUCUUGUUGCUGUAAGAUACAUUAAACACCCAAUGAAACUUCUGAAAUAUGUUUCGUCCACCUUUUUGGCUCCAUUAUCUUUGCUUAGUUUCUCUUUUGGGGUCAUGGGAGUAUUCACCUCUUUGCAAUUUUCCAUUUUGAAUUUCUUGAGAAUUUCUUUCGCAUAUUUCUUCUGGCAAAUGAAAAACUCAUCUUUCCCUGUGUAAUCUCCAUUCCAAGGAAAUAAGUCAUCAGACCAAGAUCAGACAUUUCAAAAGCUUGCAUCAUAGCCUGCUUGAACUCAUCAAUGAGUUUUGCGCUGCUUUCUGUAAUCAAAAGGUCAUCGACAUAAAGAGAAACAACAAGUAUCUUACUGUUAUUGUGUUUAACAUAUGGUGUGAAUUCUGAAACACUUUUCUCAAAGCCGAGGCUAAGCAAAUAGUCAUCUAUUCGACUAUACCAAGCUCUUGGUGCCUGUUUUAGGCCAUAAAGAGCUUUAUGUAGUCGGUAGACUUUUUCUUCUUUGCCAUCUACAACAAAACCUUCAGGUUGCUCGAUAUAGAUUCUUCUUCAAGAACUCCAUUAAGAAAUGCGGAUUUGACAUCCAUCUGGUGCACUUUCCAGACACGUUGUGCAGCAAUAGUAAGAAGCAACCUGAUUGUGUCAAGCCUAGCAACUGGAGCAAACGUGUCAGAAUAAUCAACACCAAAAAUUUGUGCAUGCCCCUUAACUACCAGUCUUGCCUUGAGCUUGUUAACAGAACCAUCAGUGCGGUAAACCCACUUCACACCGAUGAUCUUUCUAUCUUGAGGCUUUUUCACAAGCUGUCAGGCCUUGUUCUUCUCAAUCAUUGCAAGCUCCUCCUCCAUCGCAGCUUUCCACUUAGGAUCUAAAACAGCUUCUUCAAAUCCAGAAGGCUCUAAAAUGGCCACAUUACAUCUCUGGUAUAUCUCAGAGAGCAACCUUGUUUCUCUCACAGGUUGAUCAUCAAUGUUUUCAUCAAAAUUUAGUAGAUUGCUUGUGAUUUGCUUCCGGUUAACUUUUUCCCAGUCCAUUGCUCAUUCUCCAUAAAAAAUACAUCUCUACUUAACAUUAUUUUUCCAGUAUGAGACUGAAAAAUCUUGUAAGCUUUAGAGAUUGUACUGUAACCAAUAAAAGCUCCAGGUUCAGCUUUCUUGUCUAACUUGUCCCUCUUAACCUGCGGAAUAUGAGAGAAACACAAACAAUUGAAGAUUUUUAAGUUUUUUAAGUACGGCUUAUACCCGUCCCACGCCUCAAAAGGUGUCUUGCCGUCAACUAGUUUGGUAGGCAAUCUGUUCAGUAAAAAAACAGCAGUGUUAGCUGCUUCUGCCUAUAAAUAUUUUGGUAGGCCUUUCUCAUAUAACAAACACCUCGACAUCUCCAUUAUCGUCCUAUUCUUCCUUUCACUGACUCCAUUCUGUUGAUGCUCAAUACCUGCAUUUUCGCAGAACUUUUCAAAUCGAUCAGAUGUGUACUCAGUACCAUUAUCUGAUCUAAGCGUUUGCAUCCUGCAACCACUUUGAUUUUCUACCAAAGCUUUGAAUUUCCAGAAUACUUUAGGUACUUCAGAUUUGAAUCUGAGAAAAUAAAUCCAACACAUUCUUGUCAUAUCAUCAAUAAAUGCUAUAAAAUAUUUACUUCCGUUAAGAGAAGCAGUUUUUAUGUGGUCCACACAAACCAGUAUGGACUAACUAAAGCUUCUCCGAUGCUCUCCAGGUUGCCUUGGCAAAAGGCAUCCUGCUUUGCUUUC